GGUGCCCCAGCAGUCGCGGAAUCCGAGCUCGGCGCGAAGGCCCGGGCUGCCGCCGGGUUGGUUCUCCCCGCAGGAACGCCGUCCCGGGGCAUCGCCGACGGCGCGCGCGACUCUCCGCGCGCCCCACACGCCUUGCACGCCGCGGCUUGAGCCUCAGGGCGCAGGACUCCGCGCGGCGGGGCCCGCCCACCCCCGAGGUCAGCCAAUGGACACCGAGCGCGGGAAGCCGGGGGCGGGCCGCUCUGCCGCCGAGUAACACAGCAGGCUCCGCGGUCCUACGCGCCCGCCCUUCCAAAGGACCCGGAGCUGUCUGGGAUUGGGGGAGCACCUUCCUCAAAUAGAAGAACACCUAUGGAGGGCCAGCGAUAGUGCUUGUGAACACACGGGAAUGAGAAAAAGCUGGCCGGGCGCGGUGGCUCACGCCUGUAAUCCCAGCACUUUGGGAGGUCGAGGCGGGCGGAUCACAAGGUCAGGAGUUUGAGACCAGCCUGGCCAACAUGGUGAAACCCUGUCUCUACUAAAGAUACAAAAAAAUUAGCCGGCCGUGGUGGCGGGAGCCUGUAAUCCCAGCUACUCAGGGGGCUGAGGCAGGAGAAUCACCUGAACCCGGGAGAUGAAGGUUGCAGUGAGCCGAGAUCGCCCCACUGCACUCCAGCCUGGGCAACAGAGCAAGACUCUGCCUCAAAAAAAAGAAAGAAAAGAAAAAGCUUCCACUUUCGAGGAUCCCCCAGUCAUUCCGGUGGAUGAACAGAUAUGAACACAGAGAUGGAGUUUUGCCGUGUUGCCCAGGCUGGACUUGAACUCCUGGGCUCAAGCAGUGUGACCACCUUGACCUCCCAAAGUGCUAGGAUUAAAGGCACAAGCCACCAUGCCCUGCCAGGAAAAUCAUUCUAAUAUAUUCUAUGUUGAAGUGUUACUAGAGCAAAAAUAUGAUCAAAUGUUCAAGCAGGGUGGUAUGUGAGAAAAAUUCAAAAGAAUGAAUGUGUAAAUGACACUCUCAGGGAGCAUUUAGAAGUCCUUAAUUUCCCAACUCCAGAAUUCAUGACUUCCAUUGAUUUGGCCAGAGGAGGAUUACUAAACAGCCCUGAUUUACAGAUGGCAGGUCUGUGGCACAGGGCCCAGAAGUGAUUUUCCCAAGGUUAUAGAGCAAGCCAAAGGGUGAGUUGAAAAUAGAACCGUACUUCACAUUUCCAUGCAGCUAUAUGAUAACUUGUGUACUGUCAGCAAAGAGUUGAGGAAUGAAUGUCCUGGAGAGGUUAGCAUAGUUUUAUGGCUAAAGGAGUCUUGCUCAAUAAUUGCAAAUGUUACUUGACAACAGCAAAUGACCUACCUAAUCUUAUAAACAGUAACAUCCUGGGCACUUAGGCAAAAUCUUCAAAGAAAAUAAAGUGCCUGUUUGACAAUUGAAAAAGAAUUUUAAAUGCACAGCUCCAUUGUCAUAAAGCUACCACUUUUGUAAUGCUUAAGCCUAUAGUCACCUUCAACCCUCCCUGCUAAAGACUAAACUUUCAAGUGGUGACUCCUCAACUCUGUAAUAUCAGCCAGCUUACAGGAUCUUGCAGAGUGUCUAAAUGUUUUCAUAAGUGUGGAUUUUCUAAAGACUAAGUUUCACUGGUAACUUUCUGUAAGUUUAUUUACUGAAUUAACAGAACUACAGAGGAGAAUGGGAAAGUCUGAUAGGUACAGCCUAGGGUUCAGCCACUAAAUUUAGGUCUCUAGGUAGCCAGGCUAUGGAGAGAUCGCUUACCUAGCUGUGAUGCUUAUACCUGGGGACGUUUUAGGAAAACAACAAAAGCUAGGUCCACUAUUAUGUGACUCUUCUCUAGGGUGGAUUCUUACACUAUACUGAUCUAUUCAAUAGAGAGCUUAAAAUUUUAUGUUUUCAGGAGUGUGUUAAUCCCAUUCCCACUUUUCAGAAAGAAUUUUUAAAAGUGAUUUCUGUGUAAAUGGGGUAAUACUUUUGGUCCAGCCCUAAGUGAGACUAUCACAAUCACAGGAAUUCUUGACUCCUGGUUUCCUCCCCUUCAAAUACGGAGCUACACUGUUACUGCUUCUGAUCUGUUCUUCAGAGUCAUGGUCCUGACCAGAAAAUAACAUCUAAGUGUACAACAGAAGAAAGAAAACUAGAGGUCCCACAACUAUUUCUCAGCAAGCUGUCACUGACUGGUAAAAUGGUGAUAGAAGUCAGCCCUUUCCAUAGCAUAACAUCAUAACUGAAAGUAUCUUAGAGGUCCCAUAAAAAGCAGGAACUACAGAACUACUUGGACAGAAUGUAUGUCAAAAACAUCCACCAAUAAAAUCUGAUAUAUUGGAAAUGUUGCCUUUAUAGGUAAUAUUUUUUUCAUAAACAAUCCAAUUAUGAGAUAAAGGAAUAAUCCAAACCAAAUUUGCAUGUAACUUUCUGCUCCUUCCAUCCUUCUAGCAUAAAUAUUUUGGCUGCUACAUUUUCUUUCCCUCUAGCAUCACAGUGACAUACGUUAGGACUUUCUGGAUUAAACAUGUAAAUAUGUAGGUUAAACACAUUUUGUUGGUCCGGUGUAGUGACUCACUCCUGUAAUCCUAGUACUUUGGAUGUCUGUGCAUUGAGAUCCUCAAGGGAGGAUUCUCAAGGAAAGAUCUCUUGAGGCCAGGAGUUCGAGACCCCAGCUGUGCAAAAAUAAAAAAUUAGCUGGGCAUGAUGGCGUUCACCUCUGGUCCUAGCUACAGGAGCCCAAGAAUUUGAGGCUGCAGUGAGCUAGGAUUGUGCCAUUGCACUCCAGCCUGGGAGACCAAAUGAGAUCCUGUCUCUAAAGUAAAUCAAUAAGCACAUUUUGGAUGGGGCACGAAUAUAGCUUUAUUCAGAAUGCCUUUUGAGUAUUCUUGGUCAUUCUACUGUUUGGAUUCUGGCCACAUACAGGAUUCAUCUCUGCCAAUGAAAAUAGAAAAGCAGUAUUUCACACAGAAGGAAAAAGAAAUUUGAAGAACUGCAUGGAGUCAAUAGUUUAUCUAGGUUGCCCAUUUUCUCCCUUCUCUUAGUUUGAUCCAUACUCUAUUUUACUGUCCUGGCUUUUUAGUUAGAACCCUGGUUUAGUAAUUUCUGUGUGUACAAUUCUAAUGUAUGGACUAUUCAUAUUUUAAUUAAUUCAUGUAUUGAUCCAUCAGUCUAUUUACCAACAUUUUUGUUACCAUAGGGAGUACAAACUCCUCCUACCCUUAAUAAGACUGAAGUUAAAUGGGAGAAAUUGUUUGCCACAGUGACAAACACAGUGUAAAAAUGUAUGAAAUGCUAGAGGCGUGCUUUAGGGUCAGAAAGACUUAAGUUCAAAUCCAACCCCUGCCAUGUAUUAACUAUCAAAUUAGUCAACUUUAUUGAGUCUCAGUUUCACCAUCAAGAAAAUGAGUGUGACAGUUAUUUUUCAAGAUGGCCCUAAAUGAUGCUGGAAUUUAUGCAUUUGUGUAAUCCUCUUACCUUGAAUGUGAGUGGAACCUAGUGACUUGCUUCUAAAAAAUAGAAUUCUGGAAAAGUGAUGGGAUGCCACUUCCAUGAUAGGGAUACAAAUGACUAUCUUCUUUCUAGAUUUUUCUCCAUUGCCUUUAGCUUAUAUACUUUGAUGAAUCAAGCUGUCAUUUAGAGAGCCUCAUGUGGGAAGGACUGAGAAAGUUGUCUAGCCAACAGUCAUUGGGCAACUGAAUCCUACUGACAACCAUGUGAAUGGGCUGGGAAGCAAAUCCUUCUCAGUCAAGGCUUGAGAUGACCACAGCUUCAGUCAGCACCUUGAUUAUAGCCUGUGAGUCUCUGAAGCAGAAGAACCAGUGAAGUCAGCCCAGAUUCCCAACCCACAGAAACUCUUAGAUAAUAAAUGUUUAAAGCCACUACGUUUUGGGGGUAAUUUGUUACACAUCAAUAGAUAACUAACAUAAUAGGAUUACAUAUUCCUUACAGAAUUAUUGUAGGAUACGUAUCAGAAUGUAUAUAAGAAUUAGAAUAAGGAUGGUGAUGAUGAUGAUGACAACAGGAGAUCCCAGAUGAGCUUCAAAUAGGUUCGGAACUGGUAGAAGUGCUACUGUUGUGAAGAAAAUAUUUUCAGUGUGUGAACCCCUGAAUAGUACAAGAAAGAUGAAGAUAUAGGGAGCAGGGUAAUAUUGCAUUUCUCAUUCAGGACCAAACUGAUAGAAAGGGGCUUGUGAACAAAAACUAAAGUAGCAGUUUUAUGAGACUCAGUAAACAAGAAAUGUUGCUUGGGGGCCCAGGUGACAAAUUUUGACAAAGAAUUUGGGAGCGGGCUCUUCUCCCACUUCUGCUCAGUUUGGAGGCUAGCUACCACUAUGUUUGUGAUUGGUGAAUGGGAGUCCAUGGUAAGAAGCAUAAGCACACUGGAUUUGGGGCAGCUUCUGAGAAGGUAAGCUGAGGACCUACAUCAUCUUAAGCCAAUGAAACUGAGGAGUUAUGUGUCUUAUAGGAUAUGCAGAGUUUUGACAAAGAAAGGUAAAUGGAUAUUCUAAACUGAGGGAAGAGCACACCAAAGAUUCAGGGCUAUGAACAUAAAUUAUUUCCUUAGAGAUAAGCAAGUGGCCUUGUGUGACCAGAAAAAGAAGUACAAACUAGUUAACACUUCUUGUUCUGAUUCUGAUUCAAUCUCUAGCGCAGUGAUUCUCAAAACUUUUAGGUGUUAGUCUCCCUUUCUAAUAAUUUUCUUAUAAACUAUUGAUAGCUUCCAAGAGCUUUUGUUUUGUGGAUGAU